CUGAUAAGCCAGGCAUAGAGCAGGGCAAGAUCGAGAUGUGGGUGGACAUGUUCCCGAUGGACAUGCCCCUGCCCGGCCCGCCCCUCGACGUCACGCCCAGAAAACCCAAGAGCUACGAACUCCGUGUCAUUAUUUGGAAUACCGACGACGUGGUUCUCGAGGACGACGCGUUCUUCACCGGCGAAAAGAUGUCGGAUAUUUACGUCAAGGGGUGGCUCAAGGGCCCCGAGGACACCCAGUGCACCGACAUCCACC